GAGGGUGUAGCUCAGUGGUAGAGUGUGUGCUUAGCAUGCGCAAGGUCCUGGGUUCAGUCCCCAGUCCCUCCA
rnacentral:tRNA from 1 species